rnacentral:pre_miRNA from 1 species
CCUUGUCACUUACUCGUCCUGUCUGUCUCUAGAGUACUGGACGGAGAACUGAUAAGGGC